ACUGCAUCCCCUAGCGGCGCCCGGGUGGCUGCAGCCGCUGGCCCGAAAAUGCUGCUCGGGCGAGCAGGGGUCAGGCGGGAAAAGAAGACUCCAAAUCCACUCUCUGCUCGCCCCCAGGGCAAUGCUGCCAGGAGAGGGAGUGGGUUCCCCCGCAGGCUAUCCCACCGAUGGGGCUGAGAGCUUAAUUUGGGGUUUUAUUUGAAUUGGAGACAUUGUUCCCUCUUCGCUCCUCUACCCCAUAAAAUUCCCUACAAAUGCAAAAAUUCGAGAUAGAAGAAGCCGUCCCUGAAAGUAAGUUCUGAAGGAUUCCUUUCAUGCGGUGAAGGAACAACAACAAUAUUCAACUUCACCUUGGUGUGUGAGGGUCGUCGUGUUUUAAAACACUAUCCCUGUAGAAAGAUUAGUGAAAUGUAUUGGAAGAAGUAGUGGAAACGUGAAUCUUCCUGGUCUCGCGUUUGGAUCUUCUUUGGAGUCCUCACCUUCUUAAAUCUGAUGUUUGUUUGAAAUCAGGGCUGAAUUUCCAUAUAUAGGACAGAAAGAAAGAACCCCAAUUUUUUAAAGAAAGCUCCCCCCCCCCCCGCCACGUUUCUCCUGAGCCCACUUGGUCUCCCGUUAUUAGGCGGCCCAGUUAAGAGGCAUCGAUUUUCCUUUCAUUCUCUGACCACUCGUCUCUCCUGGGCCAGCCAGGCUGCCCGCAUCUUCUCCUGCUCACAGCGCUCUCUAAACCUUUUAAUUAUUUAGUUGCUGUCUAACAUUCACCGGAAACCUCUCCAUAAACAAGGAGAAACGAAUGCACACGCAUUUUUGCUAAGAAGCCCGGGAUUAAGAUUUAAGGAUACAAGCUGAAAGAAAAAAUGAAAAAUGCUUCUCCGCGCGUCAAUCGAGGGGUGGAUGCGCCACGCAGCGUGAGCCCAGCUCACAGCCACGCGUAAGACCAAAAGCUGCCAUGGGUUCUGCGCGCGGAGACCUCAGAGCCGAAGAGAGAAGUCCCCGCGUCAGAAACGCUGCGGAUGCCAGGUCUUGAAAAUGCUGACUUCUGAGGCUAAGAAUUAUUUCAAAGACAAAAAGAAAAGACUGGUGAGGAGGCCUUCCGGUGCAAGGGCGCCUAUCCGCUAAUUUUGGAUGGGGAAGUAGGGAUUAUUCGUUUAAAUUCAAUCGCGAGCACCAAGUCGGACUGGCCGGGGAUGGAGAAGGGCAACCCCCACCUUUAGAAAAAUAAAAGAUCUCGAAGGCCCUUCUUGGUCUGGGUGGUUUGAGGCUGGCAGAGAGGGGUGGGGGGCCUGGGGCUGGAUGUCCCGGGUAAUGGAGCCAGCCGGUAGGGGGUAUUUAGCAUUUAAUUCCCAGCCGGCCCGCCCCAGUUCCCGGACUGACAGUGGGUAAUUGGGAGAGAGGACGUUGCUCUUUUGAUGGCCCGCGCCGGCCAGUCUCGCCGACGCCACACUGGGUUUGACGUCACGGGCCCAGCCCCGGAGCCCGGAGCACAGGGCAGCGGGGAAGGGAAAAGGAUGGGAGGGGGAUGCCGAGGAGGGAGGGCCGAGGUCGGCCUCGGGACCCACGGGGAAGGAAGGGGGAAGGGAGCGAGGCUGGAGAGGCUGCGGCGCGUGGCCUGAGGCGGAGAGCCGGGCUGCGGGGGUCCGGGCCAGGCCAGGCGCCGGCCUGACCCGCCUCGCCGGCAAGAGCAGGCCGGGCUUCCUCCUCCCUUGGCGGGCGGGGGAGGGAAAGGGGGAUCCUGGCCGGGGGUAAGGGGGAAAGGUGGUCCUGAUUCUCCCUGUGCCACCGCCACAAAGCUGAUCCUGGCCUCCUGCGGAGAAGCCUGAGCGCCUUCCCGCAGACCUGACGCGACCCCCUCCCAGGUACCUGGGCCUCGGCCUGGUCUAGCGAGUCCCCUUCCUCCCAAGGAGCAGCCGGCGGAGCUCGGGUGGAGGAAAGCGAGGAGGCGACCAGGAGGAUGCCGCCGCCGCCGCCGCAGGGCCCGGGGCUUCUGCAGGGCGCAAGGCCUCCCUCACCAGGGUAAGGGGCUGGCGAUCAACCUGGACGCCUGGGACCUUGGGAGCAAGCAUCCCGCAGCCGAGCAGGCGACGGCGCGGCCACCGCCUAGAGAGGAGCCGGGGCCCGGGGCGGCGUGCGGGUCGGCAGCAGCCGGCUUGGCCUAUCCGAAACCCCAGGCCUGGAAGCGGCUGCUUUAGGCGUCAAGUUGAGCGGGGUAUGUGUGUCCUCUUGGGAAAAAGGUGAGAAAUGGAGCCGGACUUUCUCCACUCGGUAGGGGUUAAGCUACCACACACACCCCCAAACACAUGCCCACGUGCAAGUCCCUCCCACCCGCCCUCCCAGGGGCGAAGAGACCCUGUCCCAGUGGAAGUGGGGAAACCCAGUCGGGUACAGAAAGCAGAGGCCAUGGCGCAGAGCGGAGGCGCGGCUUUCUGGGGCUCAGCCCUAGGGCUACAGACCCAGGGCGCGGAGAUGCUCGCGGCCGGGCCACCCACCAGAGCCAGGCAACCGGCGCUUCCAGGCGAGCUCCGCGGGGCCGAGGUGCCGGGAGAAGCGGCCCCGGGCGCCCGCGCGCUGCCCGACCUGGGUAACAGGCAAAGCGGAGCCCCGGGGUCGAAGUCCUAAAGUUACUAAUCCCGCGGAGGGGGAGAGAGCGUGCCUCGGGCCGCCCGGGGCGGUCAUUUGAGCGUGUUUACUUAAAGACUUUGCAAGCAGAGCGCGCGCGAAAUCGUCGGAUUUCCAGCGAGGCAGCAAAUAUUUGCAGGCAGAAGAAAGAAGCGGAGCCGAGCCGAGCCGCCGAGUCCCUCCCCCCGGAGCCCCGGAGCCCCGGCGCCUGCCUGGGCGGUCCCGGCCGCGCAGACAGAAAAGAAGCCGGGAAUCUGCGGGGCUGGGGGGCGGGGAGCGACACCAAAGGCCAGAAACUGCAGCACGGCCCGAGGCCCUGGCGAGCUGGGCCUGGGGGAGGAGAAGUCCCUUCCCAUUCCAGCUCGAUCAAUCUUGCUGGGCUGCGAUCGGUCAAUAAAAACGGUGUGAAGCGGCCGCUGUCGCUGUGAGUCUGGGGAGGAAGUGGAGGCCAAAGGUGUCGAGGCCGGCGCCAGUACCCCGCACCAGCCGGGUCCGCGGCCCCGCGGUCUGCACGUCGCAGGCCGGGGGCCAGAGCUUUGCCGGCAGCCGAGAGCGGCCCGGCGGGGCCUUUAAUUGGGUGUCUCCAUUUUAAUAGAGGCCAUUGUUGGAGCAAUUAGAGAAAGACAAUAACCGCCCAGAGACGUUUAAUUCGAUUCCCUGCGCCCGCCGCAGUACGCACCGGGGCGCUCUGGAAGAGUGGCCGAGGCUGCGCGGAAGGGAGGGUCCGCUUGGGGAGGCGCCGGCUUCUUUCCUUGCUUGCUUUGCCUUCGGUGUGGGAAUUGUAAAGGGCGACUGGGGCAAGAUGAAAGCGGGGCGAGGGCGACCUGAGCCAGGCCAGGGCCGGCCUCUCUAGCCCACGCCGGGCGCCCGCGGGACCGCCGCGCCUUUCGCGGCGCGCGUCCAGCUGUGGCCGCCGCGGAGGUCCCCAGCGCCUGUUCAAAGGAGAGAAGCCGGAGGACCGGGCCGUGAAAACUGGCCUCCUUCCUCCUUAGCCCCGGGUCCCCAUUUCUGUCACCCGAACCAUGUCCAUAUUUCCUUCCCUAUGGUGGGAGGAGGGGCAAAGGAGAGAUCCCGGGUAUUGGAGCGCGCACACCUCCGUCUCCAACCCAGCCAGCCUCACCGCCCCCUCCUCCGCCUCGGCCCCUGGAUUAGGUUACCCUGGCCGCGCAAGGGUUUCUACUGGAUAGGACUAUAGCACAGGUAAAGCUGUAUAAACAGCUCGCCGGCUGCCGGGCGGGAGGGUUAUGCCGGGGACACGGCUCCAGGCGCCGCCGCUGGCCCCGGCUGCGCGGGCCACACCGCGGGGAGCCCGCUGCGGCAGGGCGCCCCGGACCGCGCAGGUUAAAUACAUAUUAUCUCUGUCUCUGCCACUCGGGCCCCCGUUUUCUUUCCCUUGCGAGCUGAAAUGCGGAGAGCGGGGAGCAAGACCUAAACGGGAAGAAAAGGCAGUCGGGCAGUGGGCAAUACUGGUUGAGGAUCCCGGCCCAGCAAGGCUGGCUCUCUUCAAACAAAACCCAGAGAGCAGGGAACUUGGGGGAAAGCAGAGAAAGAGGGACCCUAAAACUCACUGGCAAUGGGAAGAUGAUGGAGGCGGGUGCGUCCAAGGGGCAACUCUCCUCGCGGCUCCCACGCCCACGCGCCCCGGGCCAGGAGUCUACCUUCCCCGUGAAAUGAGCUAUCGUUUUGGGGAUGGUAUGUGAUUUGAUUUACCCUUUUUUCUUUUCCUUCCUUUAGUUCUUUUUUCUUUUUCUUUUUUCUUUUUUUUUCUGUUUGUUUGUUUGUUUUGCUUAUUCAUCGAUCACCGUUUAAAACUCGGAAGGAAACCCGCCCAGGCCAGGAGAGCCGCGAGCCGUGGGGAGAGUCAAAAAAGAGGAGAUGCGCUGGGAGAUUCCCCCCGCCCCCGCACUCCGCCCCCAGCCCGGCCCCGGCCUCCACUUCGAGGGAUCCUGACCCUCCCACCGCCACUACCACCUUUUCCCCGGUUGAGAAAACCCCUGAUUGUAGCGAGAUAAAAAUUGGGUAGGUAGGGGUGCAGCGGAAAGGGGGAGACAGGAAGGGAGAGGGCAGGGGAUUUCUGCUUUCGGGUUUAACAACUCACACGUGAGGCGAGUGGCAGUUGGGGGGAGCCCCGGGUUGGGUGGGAGAGAAGGAACUCGCCUUGAGGGUGAGUGGAAAGGAAUUGGAGUCACCCUGGAGGAAAAGUGCCCUUUUCAGCUCUCUCCCUCCCUCCUGGCCUUGGCAGGUGGGGGGACAGGUGGGUGCCACGGGAGGAAAAGAAGGGGUGGAGGCAGCCCAGCCGGCGUCCCUGGGUCUCCCGGGCUUUGGACAUCUUACCCUGCCCCCAGUGGCAUCAGUGACUCCUAGCCAGGGGCUUGCUACUUCUAGACCCGACCUCUCCUCCGUCCCAGGGGGCCGCUCAGCCACACCGCUAUAGCACCCAGGACUCCGGCCCCUGCACCAAGGAAAGGCUCCAGCCUGGCAGAAAUUCACCCAUUUCAAGGCUUGGCCCACCAGGCCUUAGCAUUGCCGGGUGAGGUGGGGUGCACGCGGUGUUCAGUCUGGCCAGUCGGAGUCACCUGCUCCACUCCCCCGGCCUGGUCACCCACAUCCUCACAGCCACCCAGCUCCUGAGCCCCCUGGCCAACCACAGCCCCAACCCCCAGCGCUGGCCUCAGCCGAGUCUCCUCCGUCUGCUUCAGUUUGGCCUUUUAGGAGGAGAAGGAGGGCUUUAUCUGGGGACUAUUGUGUUUUGACUCAUCUAGAUUAGCCUAGGAGCUGGAGUGUGAUUGUAGCGGGACACUCUGGCAGGGGAUGUGUUCACAGCACGGAUAGGAAAAGAGGGGGAGGGGGACUCCAUUCAGAUCUUGGAGACAGUAGAGGCGCGCUUUUAAAAGCACAAACCGUUCUUGUCUUCCUUUGGACAUGCUAGAGACCACCUGGUGAAAAAAAAAAUCCAUGUUUGUGCCCGACUCAGAGGUGCAAAGGAGGAGGUUUGGCAUGCGCACCCUUCUCCCGGCCUCCCUUGGUCCCGGACUGCCCCCUACCCGCAGCCCCUCCCUCCGGGCAGCUCAGCUCUAGGCUGCCUUCCACCUCGCGGACCCUAAGCAAUUUGUUAUAUAAAACAAAACAGCAACCAGACGCAUGUGCCUGUUCUUCACUAACGCCAGCAGACCGGCAGCGACGGAUACCCGGUGGACCUCAGCCGGGACGCCUCGGGCAGCAGCUUCUUGCCCGCUGCCGCACCCACCUCUGCACCCCAGCUCGGGUCAGCCCAGCAGCCAAAGCAAAAGGGGGAUUCCUCAGUUUGCUCCCUUGGAGGCUACAAAGCCUCUCUCUGGUUAUUCCAACCGUUAAGUAAAAAAGAGGUGAUGGGAAAGAUUUGGUCUGCACACAAAGAUAUACCAGGAGAAGAAUGCACAUUUAUGUGUAAAAUGGCUUAGGCACCAAGAAUGAGACAUCACUUCAGUGCAGCCUAGAAAUAGUUAAAAAUAACCGAAUGCUAGAGGACAGAGGUGGUUUUGGGAUCUGCCCCACACUCCUUAUCAGGAUCCCUAAUUCCCUGCCACCUCCUAUGGUUCCAGGACGCAAACUGCUUUAACCUCCAGAAGAGGGGUUUUCAGCCACCUGGCUCCCACCUACCUGCCGGUUCCCCAGGCACUCUGUGUGACCCAGGGCAACUGGACAACCCAAAAGAAAACCCCUACCAAACAAUGCUCAGGGCUUCCCACUCCCAUCCCUUCUCUGCGCCCCUGACUGUCCCCACCUCGUUUAUCUUCUGCAAGAAGGCAGGGUGUAAAUGUCAAAUAAAGAAAAAUGCAGCUUGCCAGAUCUCCUUGCUUUUGGUGGGGACAGAAUAGCCCCAGUGCUGGGGCUGGCAGAGAUCUCUUGUGCAGAGUGGAGGAUGGGCCCGUGGAUUGCAGCCGCUCCGCAUUUUCUAAGCCCUGCGGCUUCUUGGGCCAGGGACUUAAGGCUUUACGGGGCAGCUGGCUGGGAGCUGCAAGCAGGGCCUCCUGCUUGAUCCCACCGAAAGACUCCAUAAUCAGACCCCCUAUGCGACCCGACACCCAAUGGGGUCUUGGUCUGAACUGACACCACGCCCCGACUGGGUUCAAAUGGGUAGAAAACAAUUCCGUUCUUCUGAAUGGCACAAACAUGUCAUGGUAAGCCCCUGACACACACACACACACACACACACACACACACACACACACACACUGCCAGCCAUUUGGGCCCCCAAGCAUCUCAUUUACAGAUGCCUGGAUGGACUCAACCUGCCUGGCUAGACCCCCAGCCCACCCACUGCUACUACCACUACCUUCUCGGCAGCAGCCGCUAGGCAGAGGAGGCUUUGGAAAUGCUACUUCAACAUGGAUCCCUUUAAAGUUCUUAAUCUCCCAUCUGCGACCCCAGCAUCCUGGUGAGCAUGGACAAUAGGGAGGAGAGAAGGACCAGGAAAUAUGGGAACGAAGCCGAGGGAGAUGCCGCACUUUCCCCCCUGCCCUUGCCAGAAUCACCGGUGUCACUUUCCUCAGGCACCCUGUUGGUGUCCGAGAGAAAGAAAAGGCAUGUAAAGCAGCUGUCCUGCCCAGAUUCACUCCACUUCCUUGACAUUUUAACAAUAUCUGUCUUCAGGGGGGAACUGCCUCUGAGUGACUUUUUGGAGGUCUGUUGGUCUGCUGUCCCGGGAGUUAAGUCCAAAUCUUGUCCUCUCUGCCCCUUCCGCUUCGGAUGCCCCUGGGCACCCUCUGGGGAGGCUGCGGUUUUCUCACCCACCUCAGGGUGCUCCUGGAAGCAAAGAAGCCUCCGGACCCCUAGCUUCCCGGGGGUAUGCCAGAUGCAGACACAUCUGGGUUCCAACUUUAUCUUACAGAGCAGAGCUGUUUCUUUAAUUAUAUGCAGAGACAAUGAGCCUCAACACACACCUUUAAACAGAGGAAAAUAAACAUGAAAUUGACACUGAAGCCACCUUUAGAAGAAGGCUCCUGGGCACAGGGGUUGUUUUCCCCAAUCCUCUGCCCUCCUUGCAGUGGGAAACGUGUCUCCGGCCCUUUCCAAGCAUUCCCACGGGCUCUCAUUCUUCCGUUGGGUUUUUCUUCACAUCCCUACUUCUACCAGCUCUUUCCUGCAAACGAGGACAUCCACACACUCACACACCGUACCCGCCCAAGGUCACCACAGAAACCCAGAGAUUUCCAGUGACCAAAAAGAACAAUAAGAACUGGGUUCUAGUUUAGUUUCUUUCAGAGGGAGUCUGCCCUUUGGAGAGGAGGCCUCCUCCUAAUUCUCUCCACGUGGAGCGGGCAGAGGGAGUGCGGAGUUAGAGAGGGAAGAGAGUGAUAUUCACUGACCUGGGCAGCUCGCUCCCGAGGGCCAGCUGUUUUUUAUUUUUUUUCCUGACUCGCCCGGAGAUCUGAAGGCAGAAAUGACAGGCAGAGUUCGCCACUGUGGCCGCCGCUGCCGUCCUGGCCGCUGGAACUGCUCACCGCAUCUCAGGCGGGCUUCCAGCGAGAGGUAAAACCUGGGCGAUGUACGUUCUUCCUGGGAGCCCCCUCCCCUCCGCCUUCUCCUGCUCACUGUAGAGAGCGGAGCUCUUCCGGGUUGCGAAGAGGGAAAGGGAGGGAGGGAAGGAGAAACAGCGAGGGAAUGAAUUUCACCCCCUUUUGCAAACAGGCAAACCGCACAUCAGGGGUGUGUGAAACUGACAGAUCUGGCGGGGGUGGGGAAAGGCGGCCUGAAAUGUGACCGGCCCCUGGCGCCUGCACAGCCCGCUGUCUUCUGGCAGGGUUGGGAUUAACACUAUACAUGUCAUCAGAAGUGUUGACUAGGUCAUUACCAUAGGCAUAAACCCAUGCAUGGCAUUUUCCUUCCACUUUUGGGAGCAUUGGGGACCCAGGGGGAGCCUGUCUUGGUCCGGCCAGUGGCAUCCAUUAGCAGGUCGAAGGAGUUAGGGUCUCUGCCCUCCAGGGCUCUCCCUCUCCCUUCCGACUAUUUCUCCUGUUUCUGUCUAUGCUGAUGCCUCCAAAACGCCCCCAUUCUACUUUCAUCUCUCCUGAGCCGUAGUUGCCCCGUAAAAGUUAGGAGGUGCAGGAUGCUGGGUGACGGGCUGCUACCCUCUGACCCUCCUCGGAGUAGGCAUAAGAAUAUUUGGAGAUGGGGUAUCCUUGGGCACACAUACCAGAGGUUGGGGGCACUCUCUAGGGGUCUCAAUUCUUUUUAAGAAGACUUCUAGGGAAAAUCUGCCUUCUAGCAGAGUGAGAUAAGAAAGCAGGAAUCAGAGGUCGCGCUGGAGAUAAAAUGUCAGAAAGAAAAUGAUCCCGCUGGGCCACCCAUAGGGCCAUGUAAACUCCAGCCCUCCCUGCAAAACCACCUCUCUCCCGUACCAUCCCUACCCCUGCUGGUGAGGAGAUCAAAAUAAUCCACGGAGAGAGAAUCUGUCAUG
rnacentral:lncRNA from 1 species